GGCUGCUCGGGCGCUGCGCGAGCGGAGCCAAACUGCUCCCACCUGACACUGCGGACGCCCCCUCUGUCUACACCGCCCUAGGGCGUCUAACAGAUUUGUACCAAAUGUGGGGAAGGAUCACUUUAUGACUGCUGGCAAUCCAGGAAUUUCACAGUCAAAGGAACCUACUAGAUCCAGAAAGGGCAAAGGAUUGACAGUCGAGCACAUUCUGAUGAAUUGUACCCUUAGGGAAAAAAAGAAGAAAACCAAGAAGGCCUCUGAUACCAUCUAUGGGAAGAAGCUAACAAUGAGAAAUAAUUCUUAGAAGUCCUAUUUUCUCAAAGAGGAGUUUGGAAAGGAGGAAGUGUGAUUGUGGAUUUAUAAGUCCACAAGGACUCAAUGCAAGCGGCAGAUGGUGAAUGGUGGUGGCACUGACAGUCACCACUCCCCAACUCCUGGUUUUCUUCAGGCUGGUCUUCCACUCUUGGCUGGUGCUGGGCUUGGUUGUCCAUCUUCCACUGCCUUUCUCAGAGGACCACACUAAUGGUGCAAUCUGAGAGGAACUGCACGGGAAGGAGGGGAACCUGGGAUUUCAUUCUGGAUCUGCACAUACUGCCCAGGUGGCUUUGAGCAAGGAGGAAGAGACUAGCAUUGUUGAACGCCUUCCAGCUACCAGUCGUUGUGUAAGAUGCCAUGCAUGCAAGUAAACUCUUUAAACCUCCUGACAACCCUGUAAGAUAAAGAAGAUGAAACACAGAGAGAUUAAGUAAUUUGUCCUACAUCACACAGCAAGUAAGUGAUGGUCCAAGAAAGAAGAACAUGGAAAUUUUACAACGCAAAAUGUUAGUGUGUCUUUGUACACUAUUGGGGCAAAUACAAAUGAAAAGAAUGGCAGAAGAUAGUCAUGUGAAGUGUCUUGUCAGGGAUUGGUCUCCCCCCAAUAGCAUCUCAAAAGGAAACAGGGACUGAGGAUUGGUGAGAAGUGAGGCCUGGGGACAAAAAGCCCUUGAAGCUUGCGAGGUACAGCUAGGGAGUCUCGCUUUUGGAAGGGCUGGGAGAGAAGUAUCCAUUGUCCUACUCCAACACCUUUCUAUGUUUUAGAUACCUCUAACAUCCACCUAUCAGAAGAAUCAUUUAAGAACAUAGCCGACGACACUCUAUUUUGACUUUUUAUAAAAUGCUCCACUGUUAACUACUUGUAAAACAGUUUUAUUUUAUAUGACAAUGGCUGUUCACAUGGUAGUCAUUGUUUGACUUUCCAUCCAUUAUUCCAUGAACAUUUUCUACUGUGAACUUUUAAAUGUCAGAAAAAAGUAAUAGCUUUGAGAUUCAACUCUAUUCCGGUUUUUGUUUAUCAGCAAAUCACUACCACACUGCCACCUAGUGGCUCUUAGCAGCAGCCUCUGCGAUUGACAGAACUUGUAAUUUAAGUAUCUAUCUCCAGGCCAGAAUUCUUUAAAAUUUCUGUUUUUACAUUGGUUGCUUGGAAUACACAACUCAUUUUAAUAUAUAAAUGAUAUUACGAGUAGGUGUUAGGCUUCCAGCUUGUUCACAAAACCGUCAUCCCAUAAUGUACUUUGAAUACUUUCCAGUUGAGUUGAUCCAUCUGUAGUCACAGUUUCAUGGAAUCUUCUUGUAUCAUGUUACAUCUUCUUUCUGCUUUUACUGUUCUGAUAAAUCCAUGAAGAGAUGCCUGGCGCCCAGUCCUCCACUCCAGCCAUGCUGUCUCAACGUAUAGUCUGGCCUUAGGCGGAAAAGGAACCUCAUGGGAGGUCAUUCUCUUUUUCUUAGCCUGCUGCUGAUUCCUGAAGCUGUGACUCAACCUUCAGAAGGGCCCAGCCUCUGUCCCCUGCCCCCAGCUUGGGGUGGCCCUCUGUGUAUCUCCACCACCUCUGCCCUUGC